rnacentral:rRNA from 1 species
GUCUACAGCCAUGCCACCCUGAACGUGCCCAAUCUCGUCUGAUCUUGGAAACUAAGCAGGGCCAGGCCUAGUUAGUACUUGGAUGGGAGAUCACCUAGGAAUACCAGGUACUGUAGGCA